UACGUAAGGGGCCAGCGUUGUCCGGAAUUACUGGGCGUAAAGAGCACGUAGGCGGCUCAACAAGCGGCGGGUGAAAUCCCACGGCUCAACCGUGGAACUGCUUGCCGAACUGUCGAGCUAGAGUACGGGAGAGGAUAGUGGAAUUCCUGGUGUAGCGGUGGAAUGCGUCAAUAUCAGGAAGAACACCGGUGGCGAAGGCUGCUGUCUGGAACGUUACUGACGCUGAGGUGCGAAAGCUAGGGGAGCGAAC
rnacentral:rRNA from 1 species